CCUUUAUACUUGAUCAGUUGCAACACAAACCUAACCUUUAGCCGUUCACUUCCUCAAGCUUUCUCUCUCCUCCCUUUUACUCAAAGAUCUCAAACCUUCGAUUCUCUCUCAUCUUCGAUCAUCCUCAGAGGUUAAGGUUGAAGUAUGGCGUGGCGACGCAAGUUCGGAGCAAGAACUAAACGAUUCUGAAUCUGAGAUUGAGGUUGAUCCGAAUAAUCUCUACGGUAGGGUGAACUCAGUUGAAACAUCUUCCUGCAAAAAUAUUCACUAAUGGCCUCGAUAACAGUGCCCUUCAAUGAGUUCAUCUGUUCAUGAGGAAGCAAGAGAGGGUGUGAAAGAGUCUAAACCAGAAGUGUAUAGAGAUCAGAAUUACUCUGUAGCUAAUUUUAAUCAGAAUCAGGGUGGGGAUUCGACGAUGCAGGGUUCGAGGACGAGUGACGGCAAUGUGGAGUCUGGAUCAGAAAAAAGGGGAAAAGAGUGAAGCAGUCAAGAGGAAGCUUGAUAUGCAAUUGGAACAGCAAAGGAUACAGAAAACAACAGGGAGCGGAAAUUCUUCAUCUGUUACUACUAAACUGAAUUCUUCAGAUAAAGAAAACUUUCCAUGUGCAGUGGUUCCAAGAGCAAUGUUUUGAUUGUUAAGGAGGUGAUGGAAAGUGAGGAUUACAAGAAAGAUUCAGUUGGGGAUCACCAAAACUCUUUACGGUUGCUUGAAUUAUUAACAACAAAUGAUUAAGUAGUUUUAAGGAUGCUGCGGAGAAAGAGGAUUAUGAGUUGGAUGAAGUACGAAUUCUUUCUUCUACCAUUCAUAGUAGUACUCUGGGGUACUAAUUAGUUGAUGAUUGAAAAAGGAAAGUUAUUCUAAGUUUCUAACUAUAAACUAUGUUAGCAGAAGUUCUGGCAAUUUUGAAGCAGAACUAUCUAAUUUACAUUUUGUUUUUUUGUCACCUUUCCACAACUGUUGUUUGUGGGAAUGAGAAGCUUUUCCUAUGAUAAUUAUACAAUUUUCUUUGAAACAAUCAACCCUGUUGAUUCUGGUUAACUAAUUCUUUUAA